CCAUAGUGCCGGGAAUGCCAUUCUGUCUUCGGUAAAUAUUACUUUCAUAUCUAGGAAAAUAAAGGAAUGUCAUGAAAGAAAACUUUAAUUCAUAGAUGUAUUCAUCAAUCAUAUUGGCAAGAGGAGGUUAAUUUUGCUUAGUUUUAUGAUUUGAAUGUAUAAUGUACCAACAUUAAGGUUUACAAUGUCUGCCAAAAUCCUCCUGAGUUUGGGAAGUAACUGGACUGUGAGGACACUACACUCAUCAGUGGACUCAUCUAUGGAUGACUUCUGUGGCUAAAUAUGCUGUGAGGUGGUGGAGUAUACACGUAGCUAGAUGGCUGUGUGUAUGACAUUCAAGAACAUAUUCUUGUCCCCGGAUCCUCCUUCUCUGCCCCUCUACUUCCUGGUUGCCAUGAGAAUCUACUCUUCUGAGGAUAUGCCUAAAGUCUUUUUCUGAACUUUCUUGUGUUCAUUUUGCUUCCCUAAAAUGAAUGAACAUCCUCGGAUAAUGUUUUGAAGCCCUGAUCCACAAUGCAACAUUAUUUGAAUCUGAGUUCUGCUGGAUAUAAAUUUGUUCUGCAUUCCAUAAAGGACACUCCAGAAAUCUGUCAUUGCCACCUCCUCAGAGACUACUAAAGAGACUGAAAUCAGCAACGUGAAGAUUUUCAUGUACCUCGCUGGUGCCUGCUUCAAGAGGAAGGAGCUGCGGAAGUCCAGAUACCAGAAGUUUAACCUGCACGUUGGUGGUCUCAGUUUCUUACCGAGAAUCCAAGUAAAUAACUGAUAGGUUUGAGAAAUCUACACAGACUGACUUAAAAUAGUUUGGUCGUUUUAACCAUUCAUUAGGUGUAUUUGCAAAUAUUACACAAGGCUCAUAUUUUCACUGAAAAUAUUUUCUAAAUGUAGUUACGUUUGUAAACUGUUAUAAUAGUUAAGACAAAUGUAUUGUUUUACUGUUAUAAGUCUGUUAAUCACUACACUUUGGUUUUUCAUUUUUAUUUCUAAUAUGGUAGGCAGUAAUGGUUAUAUCAACAAUUUAAAAGACAUUUAGAGUCCUUUUUAGAUAUUUUAUGUAAGCUGAUCCUGAAAGCAAAAUGCAUGAGUGUUGUUUUAUUAUAAUUUAUAUUGCAAUUGUGAAUCAUUUAGCUUUAUUUAACCAACAUGGUUUCAGUGAAGUGAGUAUUAAAGGUAUAAGAAACAUUACAAUUUUUAGAUGAUCUUCUCCUUGGCAACAUUAGGUGUCCUUAUCAUUGUUUAAAAAUACUGUUUUGCUUUUUUAAUCACUGAACAAUAAUUGUGUCUCACAUUCCAAUCCUUCUAUAAAUUGUCUCUCUUUCUCUUUCUCUUUCUCUCUUUCCUUCUUACUUUUACCUUAUAAUGCCACAGCACGAAUUUUGGUUUCAUGAAAAGAACAGUAAGGACUGUGUGUCUCCUUGUUUUAGGAAACUGUAUGGACAUUUCAUAUAUGUUUGCUGUGUGACAUAUGUGCUUUAUCAAGAUAUUCAUACUUUCAGAAAAUAUAUUGAUUGAUAAGACUCAGAUAUUCAGAAGAGGCUCUCCAUUGCUGAUUUUUGAGUUGAAUUUUCUGAUAAGUUCUUGAUACUGAACCAUUUUAUCUUUCAUGAAAUAUAGCAAUAACAUAUAUUUGUGAUAUAAUUGUUUUUGGUACUGUAGU